rnacentral:rRNA from 1 species
AACGAACGCUGGCGGCAUGCCUAACACAUGCAAGUCGAACGAAGGCUUCGGCCUUAGUGGCGCACGGGUGCGUAACGCGUGGGAACCUGCCCCUCGGUUCGGAAUAACAGUUAGAAAUGACUGCUAAUACCGGAUGAUGACUUCGGUCCAAAGAUUUAUCGCCGAGGGAUGGGCCCGCGUAGGAUUAGCUAGUUGGUGGGGUAAAGGCCUACCAAGGCGACGAUCCUUAGCUGGUCUGAGAGGAUGAUCAGCCACACUGGGACUGAGACACGGCCCAGACUCCUACGGGAGGCAGCAGUGGGGAAUAUUGGACAAUGGGCGAAAGCCUGAUCCAGCAAUGCCGCGUGAGUGAUGAAGGCCUUAGGGUUGUAAAGUCCUUUCAGAUGGGAAGAUAAUGACGGUACCAUCAGAAGAAGCCCCGGCUAACUCCGUGCCAGCAGCCGCGGUAAAGUAGGCGU